UGGCCCGUGGUGUAAUUGGCAACACGCCUGACUCUGGAUCAGGAGAGUCCAGGUUCGAACCCUGGCGGGCCAA
rnacentral:tRNA from 1 species